UAAGGAAUAUUGAUCAAUGGACGCAAGUCUGAACCAGCCAUGCCGCGUGAAGGAUGAAGGUCCUCUGGAUUGUAAACUUCUUUUAUCUGGGACGAAAACGGGAUUUUUAUCUCAAUUGACGGUACCAGAGGAAUAAGCACCGGCUAACUCCGUGCCAGCAGCCGCGGUAAUACGGAGGGUGCGAGCGUUAUCCGGAUUUACUGGGUUUAAAGGGUGCGUAGGUGGGCUUAUAAGUCAGUGGUGAAAUCUCCGAGCUUAACUUGGAAGCGGCCGUUGGUACUGUAGGUCUUGGAUUAUCUGGAGGUAAGCGGAAUAUGUCAUGGGGCGGUUAAAGGCUUAGAUAUGACAUAGA
rnacentral:rRNA from 1 species